GACGAACGCUGGCGGCGUGCUUAACACAUGCAAGUCGAACGGAAAGGCCCUGCUUUUGUGGGGUGCUCGAGUGGCGAACGGGUGAGUAACACGUGAGUAACCUGCCCUUGACUUUGGGAUAACUUCAGGAAACUGGGGCUAAUACCGGAUAGGAGCUCCUGCUGCAUGGUGGGGGUUGGAAAGCUUCGGCGGUCGGGGAUGGACUCGCGGCUUAUCAGCUUGUUGGUGGGGUAGUGGCUUACCAAGGCUUUGACGGGUAGCCGGCCUGAGAGGGUGACCGGCCACAUUGGGACUGAGAUACGGCCCAGACUCCUACGGGAGGCAGCAGUGGGGAAUAUUGCACAAUGGGCGGAAGCCUGAUGCAGCAACGCCGCGUGCGGGAUGACGGCCUUCGGGUUGUAAACCGCUUUCGCCUGUGACGAAGCGUGAGUGACGGUAAUGGGUAAAGAAGCACCGGCUAACUACGUG
rnacentral:rRNA from 1 species